GGUUGCUUGCAAGGGCGUAUGGUGGAUGCCUUGGCAGACAGUACCGAUGAAGGACGUUUGAGGCUGCGAUAUGCCUCGGGGAGCCGCCAGCAGGGCUUUGAUCCGAGGAUUUCCGAAUGGGGGAACCCGCCGGCCGUCAUGGGCCGGCACCGCGUUCGCGCGGGGGGUACGCAGGGAAGUGAAACAUCUCAGUACCUGCAGGAAAGGAUGUUCCGUGAGUAGUGGCGAGCGAAAGCGGAUCAGGCCAAACCGCGCGCGUGUGACAGGCGCCAGCCGUUGCGCGCGUGGUGUUGAGGGAGCGUGUGUCCGGGUCCUGGCGGGCCCGGCCGGAGUGAUAAAACGGCGUGUGAGGCGAACCGGAUUGAAUGCCGGGCCGCAGAGGGUGAUGGCCCCGUAGCCGAACGCGCGUCGUCUCCGGAUCGUGUUUCCCAAGUAGCGCGGGACUCGUGGAAUCCCGUGUGAAUCCGCCCCGACCGUGGGGUAAGCCUAGAUAUACCUGUCUGACCGAUAGCGAACUAGUACCGUGAGGGAAAGGUGAAAAGCACCCCGGGAGGGGAGUGAAACAGUCUCUGAAACCGUGCGCUUACAAACCGUCGGAGCCUUUCGGGGUGACGGCGUGCCUAUCGAAAAAUGAGUCUGCGAGUCAGUGGCACGUGGCGAGCGUAACCCGUGUGGGGUACGCGUAGCGAAGGCGAGUCUCAAAAGGCGUUUGAGUCGCGUGUCCUGGACCCGAAGCGGGAUGAUCUAGCCCUGAGCAGGUUGAAGCGCGGGUAAGACCGCGUGGAGGACCGAACCCACCUGGGUUGAAAACCGGGGGGAUGACUUGGGGCUAGGGGUGAAAGGCCAAUCAAAUUCCGUGAUAGCUGGUUCUCUCCGAAAUGCAUUUAGGUGCAGCGUCGGUUGAUUGCAUCGCGGGGGUAGAGCUACUGGAUGCUUGCGGGCCCGUGUCGGGUACCAAUAGCAGCCAAACUCCGAAUACCGUGGAUGUGUAUUCCGGCAGUGAGUCGGCGGGGGAUAAGCUCCGUCGUCGAGAGGGAGACAGCCCAGAUCGUCGUCUAAGGUCCCGAAGCGUGUGCUAAGUGGGAAAGGAUGUGGAGUCGCAUAGACAGCCAGGAGGUUGGCUCAGAAGCAGCCACCCUUGAAAGAGUGCGUAACAGCUCACUGGUCUAGUGGUUCCGCGCCGACAAUGUAGCGGGGCUCAAGCACACCACCGAAGACGCGGCAGCGGCCUUUGUGGCCGUUGGGUAGGAGAGCGUCCCGCGUGGGGCGAAGCGGCCGGGGAACCGUGCCGUGGACCGCGCGGGAGUGAGAAUGCAGACAUGAGUAGCGAGAGACGGGUGAGGAUCCCGUCCGCUGGAUGACCAAGGGUUCCGGGGCCACGUUCGUCGUCCCCGGGUGAGUCGGGUCCUAAGGCGAGGCCGACAGGCGUAGUCGAAUGGAUGAACGGGCUGAUAUUCCCGUACCGGCAGCGAACCGAAACAACCGAGGCCUGGGGCGCUAACCUCCGGGUCCGUGCCGUCUCCCCUUUCGGGGGGUCGCGGCGCGGGCGCGUUGGGAUCCCCCCUCGUAGUAGGUCAGCGCAGGAGUGACGCAUCAGGGCAGCCGGCCGCGGAGGUGGUUUUCCGUGGUCAAGCGUUCGAGCCCGUCCCGCAGGCAAAUCCGCGGGGCGUCGGGGCGAGGCGUGAUGAUGGGGGCCUUACGGCCCGAAUCCGGUGAUCCGUGGUGCCGAGAAAAGCUUCGGCGUCAGGCGCGUUGCCGCCCGUACCCCAAACCGACACUGGUGGUCAGGUAGAGAAUACCAAAGCGAUCGAGCGAAUCCUGGUCAAGGAACUCGGCAAAUUGCUCCCGUGCCUUCGGCAUAAGGGAGACCCCCUGCGGUGAUGAGCGGCGGGGGGUGGCACAGGCCAGGGGGUAGCGACUGUUUACCAAAAACACAGGAGCGUGCGAAGGCGCAAGCCGCUGUAUACGCUCUGACGCCUGCCCGGUGCCGGAAGGUUAAGAGGAUCCGUCAGCUUUCUGCGAAGCGGUGAAUUCAAGCCCCGGUAAACGGCGGUGGUAACUAUAACCAUCCUAAGGUAGCGAAAUUCCUUGUCGGGUAAGUUCCGACCUGCACGAAUGGCGUAACGACUUCCCCACUGUCUCGACCAGGAGCUCGGCGAAAUUGCAGUACGAGUAAAGAUGCUCGUUAAGCGCAGAAGGACGAAAAGACCCCGGGACCUUUACUAUACCUUGGUAUUGGCAUUCGGUGUGGAUUGUGUAGCAUAGGCGGAAGGCUUCGAAGCCACGGCGCCAGCCGCGGUGGAGCCGCAAGGUGAAAUACCGCUCUGUUCGCAUUGGAUGUCUAACCUCGACCAGUCAUCCUGGUCAGGGACAGUGCCUGGCGGGUAGUUUAACUGGGGCGGUUGCCUCCCAAAGAGUAACGGAGGCGCUCAAAGGU
rnacentral:rRNA from 1 species